UGUUAUUUGCACAACUACAUUCUGUGAAACAAGGUAAAAAAGAACAAGGAAAUUAGACAACCAGUAUUUUAGUCAACUUAUUCUACAGGCAUAAUUCUAUACCCUUUAUCAGCUAGCACUCAUGCAGUUUACUUAAAAGUUGAUUAUCAGGGUUAGUGACAAAAUACUAUUCCACACAAAACUGAGGAUAUAAUUUAAAUCCGUAAUUCAGUAUCAGUUUACAUUUGCUUCCUAGUAUUUUCACAUCUGCUAGGGCCACCCAACAUUGACUAAAUAGUUUAUAAUAAUUCACAAUUUCAUGAAAUGUCUAAAAUUCUGGUAUUUUCCAUUUACUCAAUCAAGAGAUUAAGGUUUCAUUAGUGAUAAAUUAUUCUUGAACAGGAAUUGAUAUUUGGUAAGGUAAUGUCAAAUUGUUAAAACACUAAGAGAAUGAAACCUAAAGUCAUAACAUGGUUUCAAUUUUCAAAUGAAAACAGA
rnacentral:misc_RNA from 1 species